AAAAAUUGAAACACAAAUAUUCUAUAUGUAGCAAAGCUAUAUGUAGCAAAACAAAUAAGCAUUCUACCCACUGAUGAUUCCUUCAACAUCAUAUCCAUAGUACUUGACAACCUGAAUAGAACCGAAUACAUAGCAAGUACUUAAUAACUGUCAUCCACUUAAAAACAUACAGACCGUUCGACAUUGUCUUAUAAAAUACGUACUACGCAGGGAUUAACAAUACCAUUGGAAUGUACCGUUCUACCCAAUAAAGUUGUUGACACAUAAACAUUUUUUUCAUGGCAUGAUUGUACUUGGGAGCCAUGAUCUGUUGCCCUCCAUUCUCCCUAACCAUUGCAGCACAUGAAGCUUGAACAACGCCACACAGUUCUGCAGUGCAAACAAUAAGCAUCAACAAUUGAUUCCAAACACAACAAAACAUUACCAAACUCCCAAAUAAUAUUAUAAGUGAUUUGUUCACUCACGGAUUGGAAAAUUCCGUUUUUUUGUUCACAAUUAAAGCUCAACAUGAUUUGCAGAACAACGAAUGCACUAUCACCCCUGCCACCACAUUCGCAGUUUUGGUAAUGCACUUCACCAUGUAAGGACAAACAAUAAUGACAAACAUAAUAUUUCUCCUGCUUAC
rnacentral:lncRNA from 1 species